GACAGAGGGGGCAAGCGUUGCUCGGAAUUACUGGGCGUAAAGGGCGCGUAGGCGGGAUGGCAAGUCGGUCGUGAAAUCCCUCGGCUCAACUGAGGAUCGUCGAUCGAUACUGCCGUUCUUGAGGAUUGCAGAGGAGACUGGAAUUCCCGGUGUAGCGGUGAAAUGCGUAGAUAUCUGGAGGAACACCGGUGGCGAAGGCGGCAUCCUGGACCGAGAUUGACGCUGAGGCGCGAAAGCUAGGGGAGCAAACGGG
rnacentral:rRNA from 1 species